AAAUCAGUGGUGGCUGUCACUGGGCCCUUGGCCUCAUGGGCCUUGUGGAAAAGCCCUGGUAACUGUGGAGGGAAGAAGUACUUUGAUCAAAGCUCUCCACCAGGGCAGCCUUGACAAUAUCUGCCAUCCCGUAUGCUCUUCUGCAGAGUGACCUUGGCACGCCUCCAUCAAGAGCUGGAGCUCAUUCCACAUCCUAGUAUCUGGGUGCAUUGUGGCUGCUUUGACCUAUAGGGUUCACUCUAACCCGUUUGGCAAACUGGCCUUGCCAGAGCAGCAUUGCUGAAACUGUGGUUCUAGCUGGUCUUGGCUCUUCAUGGCUGGGCUCAGAUCUGAUCUGUGUGUACCCCAUCUAGACCAAAGGAGACUCCUUUUGGAAAACCCAGAGGUACUGGAAACAUUCAUCUACAACCUCUUUGAAGAAUGUGACAAGAAUGCUUCAUACUGACUUUGGAAAGUGAAUGGUCAAUCAGUGCUCCCUGGGAAAAGGCAAACUGCACCAGCUGGGAGUUACCCUGAAGGGGAGUGGGAAACCGACCAGGACCUGCUUUGAACUUGGCGAUGGCGCUGAAGAGGGCGGCAGACCUCUCGGAACAGGCGUCUAUGAGGCUGAC